rnacentral:rRNA from 1 species
GAACGCUGGCGGCAUUGCUUUACACAUGCAAGUCGAACGGUAACAGGUCUUCGGAUGCUGACGAGUGGCGAACGGGUGAGUAAUGCAUCGGAACGUGCCCAGUCGUGGGGGAUAACGCAGCGAAAGCUGUGCUAAUACCGCAUACGAUCUAUGGAUGAAAGCGGGGGAUCGCAAGACCUCGCGCGAUUGGAGCGGCCGAUAUCAGAUUAGCUAGUUGGUGGGGUAAAGGCCCACCAAGGCGACGAUCUGUAGCUGGUCUGAGAGGACGACCAGCCACACUGGGACUGAGACACGGCCCAGACUCCUACGGGAGGCAGCAGUGGGAAUUUUGGACAAUGGGCGCAAGCCUGAUCCAGCCAUGCCGCGUGUGGGAAGAAGGCCUUCGGGUUGUAAACCACUUUUGUCAGGGAAGAAACGGCUUUUAUUAAUACUGAAAGCUAAUGACGGUACCUGAAGAAUAAGCACCGGCUAACUACGUG